CCGGGGGUGGGACCCCAGGGCUGGGAUAACAGGGGUCUGUGGGUCGGGAUUGAGGGGCACCGGCAGAGCCAGGGGUGGGUAGCUUGCACAGUCUCUGCCCGGCUGUGCCUGGCUCCUGCUAGCGCUGUGGGCUCCUCACUUUCACAAGCACCAAAGUUGCUCGGGGCGUGGAGACGAGUGCAGCCACCCAGAGCGCCUGGGCCCCUCUGGUGCCAGGCUGCACAGGGCAGUGACGACCUGCACCUACCUUACAAAGCCCAUCUCGGAGCUCUCUGGGCAUGGGCACGUUGCAGGGACACUGUCCCCACAGCCCAGGCUUCCCUGCUCUGGGCCAAGCGGCUGACUUUCCCAGGCCAGGGGACUGGGCGCUCACGUUUUCCGGCCGCCCAGCUCAGUGAUGGAGCAUGUGACCAGCUCCUAUUCAGCCUGAGCGGGGAAGGUGAACUGCAAGACCUCCCCGUCUCUGUCCUCCCAAAGGCCAACACAACUUGCUUGGCUAACAAUACGUGUCCACCCACCACCUCCCUGAGCAGCGGGCGGCAGCUUGAUGGCUCCCUCUUUUCUGACAUACCCACCGGGAACGCGGGGCUGUAUAUAAGGAGGGGACGUGCUGCCUGCCUGACACUUCAAUCAGCAUCCAGGACUGCAAGCGCCAGGAAACAGCAGAGUCAGCUGAGGCUACUUCCAGAGAUGAACCUGAUGCUUCAAGUCACCUUCCUGGGUCUCCUGUCCCUGCUGGUGCAGGGCUGGGUUCAGAACAGAUCCCUGCAGCGUGAGAGAUGGAGCCAGCUGGACCUGCCGCAGAACAGAGAGCUGUUCCUAAGUGCCCUGCAGAGCUACUUCGGCAGCAGAGGGAUCCACGUCGAGAAGGCUGCGCCGGCCUUCGUGCUGUCCACGAGGGAUCGCAACCAGGGGGACCAGGAAGGACGAGAGCUGAUGGCCCCCGAGAGGGGGGUAGAUGACUAGGAAGAGCUGAUGGCAGGUGGAGUCUUGGCAAUACGAUCGCUUCUGCCUCUGAGUACUUCACAGUGAUGCACUGACUCUCCCCUGCUGCUGCACACACACACACACACACAGGCGCACACACACACACGGGCACGCACGCACACACACACGAGUGACCUUUUUAUAUUUGCUGGGCUCUGCCUGCAAUACUGCGCUGUAGGGUUGGAUUCAAUAAAUUCUACUCUCUAA